AGCCUACUAGCUCAAUUGGUAGAGCAUUGUGAAAAUGCACAAAGAUGUGGGUUCGAGUCCCACGUAGGUUC
rnacentral:tRNA from 1 species